GACGAACGCUGGCGGCGUGCUUAACACAUGCAAGUCGAACGGAAAGGCCCCUUUGGGGGUACUCGAGUGGCGAACGGGGGUGUAAAACAUGAGUAACCUGCCCUUGACUUCGGGAUAACUUCAGGAAACUGGGGAUAAUACCGGAUAGGAAUCCUUGCGGCAUGGUGGGGGUUGGAAAGCUUCGGCGGUUUUGGAUGGACUCGCGGCUUAUCAGCUUGUUGGUGGGGUAGUGGCUUACCAAGGCUUUGACGGGUAGCCGGCCUGAGAGGGCGACCGGCCACCUUGGGACUGAGAUACGGCCCAGACUCCUACGGGAGGCAGCAGUGGGGAAUCUUGCACCAUGGGCGGAAGCCUGAUGCAGCAACGCCGCGUGCGGGAUGACGGCCUUCGGGUUGUCAACAGCUUUCAGCAGGGGCGAAGCUUGUGGUGACGGUACCUGCAGAAGAAGCACCGGCUAACUACGUG
rnacentral:rRNA from 1 species